rnacentral:rRNA from 1 species
UUCGGGAACUCUGAGACAGGUGCUGCAUGGCUGUCGUCAGCUCGUGUUGUGAAAUGUUGGGUUAAGUCCCGCAACGAGCGCAACCCUUAUCCUUUGUUGCCAGCGGUGAGGCCGGGAACUCAAAGGAGACUGCCAGUGAUAAACUGGAGGAAGGUGGGGAUGACGUCAAGUCAUCAUGGCCCUUACGAGUAGGGCUACACACGUGCUACAAUGGCGCAUACAAAGAGAAGCGACCUCGCGAGAGCAAGCGGACCUCAUAAAGUGCGUCGUAGUCCGGAUUGGAGUCUGCAACUCGACUCCAUGAAGUCGGAAUCGCUAGUAAUCGUGGAUCAGAAUGCCA